rnacentral:rRNA from 1 species
GGUGUAGGCGGCGAGAUAAGUCAGAAGUGAAAGCCCCGGGCUUAACCUGGGAAGUGCUUUUGAUACUGUUUCGCUUGAGUGUGGGAGAGGAUAGUAGAAUUCCAGGUGUAGUGGUGAAAUACGUAGAUAUCUGGAGGAACACCGGUGGGGAAGCCGGCUAUCUGGCCCAACACUGACGCUCAGACCCGAAAGCGUGGGGAGCAAACAGGAUUAGAUACCCUGGUAGUCC